rnacentral:rRNA from 1 species
UACGUAGGGGGCAAGCGUUGUCCGGAAUUAUUGGGCGUAAAGCGCGUGUAGGCGGCUCGGUAAGUCUGCUGUGAAAGUCCAGGGCUCAACCCUGGAAUGCCGGUGGAUACUGUCGAGCUCGAGUCCGGAAGAGGCGAGUGGAAUUCCCGGUGUAGUGGUGAAAUGCGCAGAUAUCGGGAGGAACACCAAUGGCGAAGGCAGCUCGCUGGGACGGUACUGACGCUGAGACGCGAAAGCGUGGGGAGCAAACAGGG